rnacentral:lncRNA from 1 species
UUUUUGCAUAUACCUCAUGUGAACGAAAGGACAGAAAGGGGAGUGAAUAUACUAUGAAUGUGCUAUAGUCGGAGUUGGGGGGCAAGGAAGAAGUCAUCGAUGAUGGCUCUUCUCAGGCCCUCCCUCCUCCCACCUCUUUCUGCCCUCCACCCCACUCCCACUCCAUCACCUACAUCUAUGACCUUGCAGCAAAAUCAUUAGAGCAGAGCCUACAAAACCGGCCCCAAGUCCCAAUUCCUCUACUUCCUUGUUAGAGGACCCCAAAUAACUCACUCAGCCUCUCUGAGCCCCAAUUUCCUCACCUGUAAAGUGAGGGAAUAACAUCUACCUCGCAAGGUUGUUGUGAGGACGAAAUGAGAGAACAUGGGCAAACAUGAAUGUUCUUGAAUUCACCACCCCAGGAGAAGCCAGGGGUCUGAGCUGGGAGGAGCAGAGGUUCUGGGUGCCCCCUGCCCCUACAGAGCCUGGCACCUUCAGCUUUUCUCAACUUCUGAGGGCUGCUUCCUACAGGCCAAAUCUCCCAGCCGGAACCACUUGGUCAGAGGAACACUCACAGCAGCCUUUCCCAGCACCUGACCUCAAGGGAUAUGGCGUCUACCAAUUUACAUAAUUGCCUUUGUCAUCAGUUUUCCCAUAACAUGGUACGAAGUUAAAUGAGAGCACCUGAGCUCCCCUUCCUCUGAGUGCAUUUAUUCCAUCCCUCCAAGCUGUGGCCUUCCAUCCCCAUCCAAGAGACCUGCAGCUGUGAAGAAGCUCAAGACUUCUUUCUCAUUGCCUGCCUCCCAGCCAUUAGUCCCCACCACAGCCCAGGCCACCUGGAAAAUGGGUUCCAAAGCACUAUCACUACUAGGUGACCCCUGAAUGUGGACAAGGCCACAGCUCUUCAGGCAGCAUUUCAGGGGCUAUCCAGUUGUCAUCCCUCUCAUACCCCUCUCCUACCCACCCCUAUCCCCACUAUUGUGGAAUGCACGAAGGGACAGCUGGCAAAGGCAGUGAACCAAGAUGCAGGGAAGGCCCUGUAUGAUGGGGAGGAUCUAAAGCAAAAGCCUUUUGUGCAUUGCCUCAGGUUCAGCAGCAGCAGCCCUCACUCUGAAGCCUACCUUGAGAAGCCAGGCAUUUCUGUGAAAAGCUCAUCAGCAUGCAUUUACAAUGCAAACUAGAACCAACUCCCAGUCAGCUAAUAACAGACCCCAGGAAAAAGAAAAGGUCUUCCAGACCUCCCCGACACACUUUAGAACCCUCAGGGGUGAAAAAGAGGGUGCUCCAGGGCAGUGCAACUUAAACUGUGGUUGAAGGACAAACAGCCUCUGCAAUACUUGAGGAGCUUGUUAGAAACCCAAACUCACAGCCCCCUCCAGACCUACGUACAGAAUGUAUAUUAGCAAGAUUCGCUAGGUGGUUUAUGUGCACGUUAAAGUUUAAGAAGCACUGCCUGAGAAUCCCUUGGUCCUAAUUAAUUCUUUUCCACACUCAGAUUUGCUAAUGGGUUUCACCUUAUCUCUUGACUCUUGUUUGAUGGCAACAGGAAAUAGUAGCAUUUCAGGAAGGGUGGAAAAUAUAAAAAGCACUCCCAACCCAAGCCUCCAAAAAACAGCAAUUUUCAUUUUGUGUCCAUAUAUUCCCUUCUAAUCAUUGUCCUCAUGCAAGAUUUUUUUUCAUAAAGAUGAUCUGCUACAUAAUUUUAUAUCAUACUCUUUCUCCUAACAUUACAUCACAAGUAUACUUUCAUGUUGCUGCUACAUUCUUCACACUUGUCAUUUUAAUGGCCAUAAAACAUGACAUCUAGUGCACAUAUAUAAUUAUGUAGACUCCUAUUAUUAAAUAUUUGGAUUUCUUCC